rnacentral:tRNA from 1 species
AGGGGCGUAGUUCAAUGGUAGAACAGAGGUCUCCAAAACCUCAAACGCGGGUUCGAUUCCUGCCGCCCCUG